rnacentral:lncRNA from 1 species
GGCUAUGUGGUCCUCUUCUCCUCUGCCUUCCCACUGGCCGCCCUGUGCGCCCUUGUCAACAACUUGAUUGAGAUCCGAAGUGAUGCCUUCAAGCUCUGCACUGGCCUACAGCGGCCCUUUGGCCAGCGUGUGGAGAGCAUUGGCCAGUGGCAGAAGGUCAUGGAGGCGAUGGGCGUGCUGGCCAUCGUGGUGAAUUGCUACCUCAUUGGCCAGUGUGGCCAGCUGCAGCGCCUGUUCCCCUGGCUGAGCCCAGAGGCGGCCAUUGUGUCUGUAGUGGUGCUAGAGCACUUGGCUCUUCUAGUCAAGUACCUCAUCCACGCAGCCAUCCCUGACAUCCCUGGCUGGGUGGCUGAGGAGAUGGCCAAAUUGGAGUACCAGCGACGGGAAGCCUUCAAG